AUUGAACGCUGGCGGCAGGCCUAACACAUGCAAGUCGAGCGGCAGCAGAGUAAUUGCUCCCGGUUUCAGCGGCCGACGGGCGAAUAAUGGCUAAAAACAUCGCUGGUUGCGUGGUAGAAGGUGCUGACACGGGCGAUCAUACCCCAUUAGUGCUGACGGCGUACGGGGGGAAUCAUCGGACCUUCGGAUCUCGGACGAUCCGAUGUCGGAUUAGCUAGUUGGCGGGGUAAAGGCCUACCAAGGCGACGAUCCGUAACUGGUCUGAGAGGAUGAUCAGCCACACUGGAACUGAGACACGGUCCAGACUCCUACGGGAGGCAGCAGUGGGGAAUAUUGGACAAUGGGCGAAAGCCUGAUCCAGCCAUGCCGCGUGUGUGAAGAAGGCCUUCGGAUUGUAAAGCACUUUAGUUGGGGAGGAAAAGCAGUAAGUUAAUACCUUGCUGUUUUGACGGUACCAACAGAAUAAGCACCGGCUAACUUCGUG
rnacentral:rRNA from 1 species